GCCGGAGUAGCUCAGCUUGGCAGAGCAACUCCUUUGUAAGGAGUUGGUCAAGAGUUCAAAUCUCUUCCCCGGCU
rnacentral:tRNA from 1 species